rnacentral:rRNA from 1 species
GACGAACGCUGGCGGCGUGCUUAACACAUGCAAGUCGAACGGAAAGGCCCUGCUUUUGUGGGGUGCUCGAGUGGCGAACGGGUGAGUAACACGUGAGUAACCUGCCCUUGACUUUGGGAUAACUUCAGGAAACUGGGGCUAAUACCGGAUAGGAGCUCCUGCUGCAUGGUGGGGGUUGGAAAGUUUCGGCGGUUGGGGAUGGACUCGCGGCUUAUCAGCUUGUUGGUGGGGUAGUGGCUUACCAAGGCUUUGACGGGUAGCCGGCCUGAGAGGGUGACCGGCCACAUUGGGACUGAGAUACGGCCCAGACUCCUACGGGAGGCAGCGGCGGGGAAUAUUGCACAAUGGGCGGAAGCCUGAUGCAGCAACGCCGCGUGCGGGAUGACGGCCUUCGGGUUGUAAACCGCUUUCGCCUGUGACGAAGCGUGAGUGACGGUAAUGGGUAAAGAAGCACCGGCUAACUACGUG